UACAGAGGGUGCGAGCGUUGUUCGGAAUUACUGGGCGUAAAGCGCGCGCAGGCGGAUGAUGCAAGUCUGGAGUGAAAUCUCGCCGCUCAACGGCGAGACUGCUUUGGAUACUGUACGUCUGGGGACUGGUAGAGGCUGGUAGAAUUCCCGGUGUAGCGGUGGAAUGCGUAGAUAUCGGGAAGAAUACCCGUGGCGAAGGCGGCCAACUGGACGAAUACUGACGCUGAGACACGAAAGCGUGGGGAGCAAACAGG
rnacentral:rRNA from 1 species